rnacentral:lncRNA from 1 species
AAUCAUUUAAAAACAAUUUAAUAAGAAAUAAAGCUAUAGAAAUUCAAAAUAGACAUAAUAACUCCAAAUGCUGACUAGUCAAAUCCCGAAAUCUUGUGUCACAAGUACAUGAGCAUACUAGAAGUACUACAACCAAAUAAAAAUACAGCUAUUUGAAGCAAAAUAAACAGUAAAACAAGAUAAGGAAGAAAACUUCAGGGACUGCGAUCGCCGUGCAACUCUACCUCAAGUCUCGAAAUGAAGACAUAAUCCGAGCAAAACUCCGCUAGACGCUGCUGGGACCAACUCCGAAAUCUGCACAAGAAGUGUAGCUCACUACAAAAAAAUGUGUUAUUGUGACGGUUUAUUUUACGUUUAGCAGCGGUUUCAAUAUGCUCUAACGGUGUUUUUUGAAAUCGCUAAAAUUCCGUGCGCCACAAACGUAAAACAACGGUUUUGGCUUAACCGCAUUGUAGCGAUUUUUGUUUUGCAUUAUCCGCGGUUGGAAACCGCCGUAACAUGAAAAGAUGCCAUUCAAAAUCAUUUUUAGCCACACUAUAUUUUGCAUAAUAUUGCUGUAAUUGUUCUACUAACAUACAGGUUUCCAGCUUUAUUCUUACACUAGUAAAUUAAUCCGUGUUUUGCGCGGUUGUUAAAAUAAAUUAAAUUUCAAUAUAUGAUCUCAUUGUAGAUUUAUUCGGAUAGAAUAAAUGAAUUUUUCAUGUGUACUUAUUUCUUUAUAAAUAUAUUUUUUCUAAUUAGCUCCAAAAUAUUCCAUAUCAUCAAUUCCAAAGCUAAUUUUGUUAUCCUAAAAAAAUAAUUAAUGUUUGAUAGUUGAUUUUGAACUUCACUAAUUAUGAAAACCAAACAUUUAGACUUGAAAAUAUGUCAAUAAAAACCCACCCACCACUAAGCUUUCUUUGAUUAUAAAAAAGAAAUAACUAAUAUUAAUUUCAUUAAACCUUUAAAUAGAAAAUUGGCAUUCAUCAUGUUAAGGGCGAUUGCUAAUGCAUAGAUUGCCCCGAUUAAUUUCUUAACAUGAGAAAUCUUUUAUGCUCGUAUAGGUGUUAGUGAUUAGUAAUACAUCCCUUCUUAAACCUAUUGUUGCUUUCAAAAUUCAUUUUAUUGUCCUUUCUCCCUUUUCACAAAAAUAUUAUUAGUUUACACACUCUUUAAUUUUUUGUAAUUGAUUCUUAACCUUUUAUUACAAUUAGGUAUAAGAUGAUUUGGAACUAUUUAAUUCAACUGAUAGAAAGAAAAUACAAUAUCAUUCGAUUAAAUGAUUCACAAAAUGCAUAGUUGUUUCCCUUGAAAAACAAUUCUACUUUUCGUAACAAUGCUAGAAGUGACUUUCCAAUUCCAUUGAUCAAAUCAAAGACUUGAUUCCUAAUUAACAGGAGAAAAGAAUCACAUUAAGAAAAUAUAAGUGAACCUCGAAGAUCAAAUUAAUUGAAAAGUUUUGCCAAGAUAAUAUAAACUUAUGAAUAUACAAGAAAUAGAACUGCUGCAUAAUGUUUUAAGAUUUCCAAAUCCAUCCGGACAUCAUCUUAACUCCUCAUUCAUGACAAAUAACAUAGAUAAUUUUGAUUUUAGACCAUAAAUUUUAUGUCUUCUAAUCUAACAUGUGUUUUUGCUCCCCAAGACCAAAGUAAGCUGCUAAAGUUUUGCUAUCUAAGAACAAAAAUAAUUUAAAAAGUAAUAGUCGAAAUUAAACUAUAGGCGAAACCGUAGAAGUCAUUUGUAAAAAGGGCACAAAAUUAUAUUAAGUCAGCAUGCUAUUAUGAUUGUGCAUACCUGCAUAAUUUUUAGCUCUUGCCGAGUUUCUCUAUCAAAACACCUAAGGGAUCAAUAAUUCCAAUAGGCACAAUUGCCAAAUUUUUCAAUCACGUAUGGAGAAGCUAAACUGCAAAACCUAGCAAAAUAAGAACAAAAAUAAAGUAAGUCAAAAAAGAAUCCACAUGCAAGAGUAAAUCUUCAUGUAUUUACCAGUUGAUUCAACAGGGCUUUGUGAUUUUACAACUUUGCAGACAAAUAUGCCAUGGAAGAUAGUGCUCAUGAAAUUGUGGCUAUGAGACUUAUAUUACGUUGUAUAAGC